GUCCACGCCGUAAACGAUGAAUACUAGGUGUAGGAGGUAUCGACUCCUUCUGUGCCGCAGUUAACACAAUAAGUAUUCCGCCUGGGGAGUACGAUCGCAAGAUUAAAACUCAAAGGAAUUGACGGGGGCCCGCACAAGCAGCGGAGCAUGUGGUUUAAUUCGAAGCAACGCGAAGAACCUUACCUAGACUUGACAUCUCCUGAAUUACCCUUAAUCGGGGAAGCCCUUCGGGGCAGGAAGACAGGUGGUGCAUGGUUGUCGU
rnacentral:rRNA from 1 species